ensembl:lncRNA
UCGGUCGCGAACGAUCCGGCUCAAAGAGCCGGCUCUUUGACGUGAACGAUUGGAACCGGCUCUACGAUGGGAGCCGUUUUAAGAUCCUAUUUGGGAGCCAGGUUUUUUUUCAGUUUUUCGCUCUCUCCGCCUCCCUGUCGCUGUGCUUGUGCUCUGCUUUUCGUUUUUUUUCUCCUGCGGUGCCUCGCUGUCUCUCCCCCUGCCCUCCCCCUCUCACUCUCACUCUCUCUCUCCCCCCACCUCCCCCUCUCACUCUCUCUCCUUGCGCGUUCUGCCUGUGGUAAAGCAGAGGUUUUUUUUUUCCUCCGUCUGUGCCUUAAUGUCUCCACUGCCCUCGUGUCAAGCGUGUGCUCCACACAUCUGACCAAUCACACGCAGCUUUCAAUUAAUAAUGUGCCGGGAAAACACUGAAAAAAAAGUUUCUCUCCACUUUUUUUUUGGAAACCGCAGGCAAUUGGCCAAGCUGUAUAGCGUUCGUGGGCAGGUGUCAAUGCACAGUCACGCACGCAGCAGUCAAGAAGCACACACGGCAUAAAGAAGGGGAGUCAGUGUGACAAUUGAAUAGGCCUGUGUGAUAAUGAGUGGUGACAGAAAACGGAGCAAAAUCUGGACUCAUUUUAAUGCUACGUCAGACUCCACCAGGGCAGAGUGUAGACUCAGCAAAACCAGAAUAUCCUAUCGUGCAGGCUCCACUAACAACCUGGACAGAGGCUGGUUGUGGCUUUUCUGUUAUGAAGCUGCUUUGAUUGCCUACUUUUUUGUAUUGUGGUGGGUGUUUGUAUUUAUAUUUAACUGUUACAUUUUUUCAAGUUAUUUUUUUUGGAAGUGGUGCUAUUUUGUAAUAAAGGUUUUAUUCAUAAAGCAUUGUUAUGCUGCAUUUUUACUCAUAAGUGCUUAACAAUGUCAAUAAUGAAACAAAAUGUUCUAAAAUUAGGUUUAAGCUAUUAAUUAAUUAAUAAUGUAAAACAUGUGUAUGGGGAGCCGUUUGGGAGCCGAAAGAGCCGGCUCUCCACAGUAAGAAGAGCCAUU